UUUUUGCCAAGAAAAUCUCAAAAAGGGGUCAUGGUGAGUCAGUAAAACUGGAAUGGCUAAACAAUGACAACAAGAUUUAGGACUGGAACCUCAGUAGCCCUCUGCUUUUACAGAUGAAAAACCUGAGGCUGAGUGAGGAUAAAUUACUUGUCUUACAUCACACAGGUUUUAAAUGACACAGGCAGGAUCUGAAUCCCGAUCUGGAUUCCAGAGUCAGCCCUAUUCCCUCAGCAUUGUUCUAAUCCAUGUUUAUUUCUUAUCUUCCUCCUAAGGCUGGGACCACCUGGAAUCCAUGUUUAUUUCUUUUCUUACUAAGGCUGGGACCACCUGGAAUCCAUGUUUAUUUCUUGUUUCCUUAUUGAGGCAGGGACCACCUGGAAUCCAUGUUUAUUUCUUUUCUUACUAAGGCUGGGACCACCUGGAAUCCAUGCUUAUUUCUUUUCUUACUAAGGCUGGGACCACCUGGAAUCCAUGCUUAUUUCUUUUCUCCUUACUAAGGCUGGGACCACCUGGAAUCCAUGCUUAUUUCUUUUCUCCUUACUAAGGUGGGACCACCUGGAAUCCAUGUUUAUUUCUUUUCUUACU